GUACGGCGGAACACGAGAAAUUCCGUCGGAAUCCGCGGGGACCAUCCCGCAAGGCUAAAUACUCCCUAGUGACCGAUAGUGAACCAGUACCGUGAGGGAAAGGUGAAAAGCACCCCGGAAGGGGAGUGAAAUAGAUCCUGAAACCGUGUGCCUACAACAAGUCAAAGCUCGUUAAUGAGUGAUGGCGUGCCUUUUGUAGAAUGAACCGGCGAGUUACGAUUGCAUGCGAGGUUAAGUCGAAGAGACGGAGCCGCAGCGAAA
rnacentral:rRNA from 1 species